AUUGAACGCUGGCGGCAUGCUUUACACAUGCAAGUCGAACGGUAACAGGCCGCAAGGUGCUGACGAGUGGCGAACGGGUGAGUAAUGCAUCGGAACGUGCCCAGUCGUGGGGGAUAACGCAGCGAAAGCUGCGCUAAUACCGCAUACGAUCUAUGGAUGACAGCGGGGGACCGUAAGGCCUCGCGCGAUUGGAGCGGCCGAUGUCAGAUUAGGUAGUUGGUGGGGUAAAGGCUCACCAAGCCAACGAUCUGUAGCAGGUCUGAGAGGACGACCAGCCACACUGGGACUGAGACACGGCCCAGACUCCUACGGGAGGCAGCAGUGGGGAAUUUUGGACAAUGGGCGCAAGCCUGAUCCAGCAAUGCCGCGUGCAGGAAGAAGGCCUUCGGGUUGUAAACUGCUUUUGUACGGAACGAAACGGUCCUGGUUAAUACCCGGGGCUAAUGACGGUACCGUAAGAAUAAGCACCGGCUAACUACGUGCCAGCCGCCGCCGUAAUAC
rnacentral:rRNA from 1 species